GCUGGUGUAGCUGAGUGGUAGAGCACUUGCCUAACAUGUUUGAGGCACUGAGUUCAAUCCUCAGCACCACA
rnacentral:tRNA from 1 species